CUGGAUCGCAGAAGCGUGGGUUGGAAGGCAGCUCUGCAGGCUGCCUAGCCCAGCCUCCCAUGCCUCGAGGCAGGCUCAGUACCAGAUCAGUACCAGAUUGCCAUGACUUUGUCUCGCCAAGUCAUGAAAACCGCCAAGGACAGGAGUCUCCUGGGGCAGCCCGCUCCAGUGCUGCGUUACCUCACUAGCGACGCUUUCUUGUAAUGUCUGCCCUGAACCUUGCAAGGUUGUGGCUGCUGCUUGUGCUGUCAUCUGGCUCUGCUGGGAAGGGUUUGGCUCCCCUGUUUUGGGAAGAGACAUGUUCCAGAGCUGGCACCUAAGAAGGAAGGCACAGAUGACUUGCUUUCCCGAGCCUUGUGCCUCAACACUGGAACUGCGAGGUGGCCUCUGCUCUCUGGUGCUGUUGCUCCAAGCAUCCCCGCGCUGAAGAUGGUGCUAGUCUCGAGCAAAAUGGCAACAACGGGAGCAGGAAAAAAAGAUGCGAGGACUCUGCAUGUACCAGUGCUCCCAACCAGAUGUGGUGUGAAUCCUAACGCUCAGUGGGUGUUUUAGGUUUGUGACUAGCAAGAGGAUUUACACUGCUAAGCAAGUCCCAAGGAGGGGGCAGUACAACUUUUAUUGAAACAGAAUGUUCUCCAAGAUGAGAGCUGCUUCAGCUGGCUUGUGAUCGAGGCGAUGAGCCACGCUGGCGUGCGGAUGAGACUGCGGGAGAGCUGAUGGUGAGCGAAUAGAGUGUGGCUGGAACCUGGCUGUAGGUGGAGCCAUUUACAUUUAGG
rnacentral:lncRNA from 1 species